GGAUUGAAACAUUUCUUACUUUUUAAUAAGUUUCUUUGAUACGGCUUAGCAUUCUCUCUUAUACAUGGUAAUUGUUUAUUUGUAAUUACUUAUUACCUUGGAGUCUCUUACUUAUUGUAACCUUAUGCAGAACUUAGCAAAAAAGCCAAUUAUAGAAAACAAGGCUAAAUGUACUUUCAUCUAUUUAUUAUCAACAAUAUUUGCUUGACCAAUGGAGAUUUUAAUGUCAUCUUCUGACGUGUAACCAAUGUCUGAUCCUUUGUGGCAAGAUACACAAAAGGAUGUUGCUCAUAUCUAUGGUCUAUUACGACGCUUACAAAAUAACACAGUUAUCUCUCAAGUUGCGUAGCUAGGCUAUUUUUAACAGGAAUGGGGGAAGCUUUGGUGUUGAAUUUACUUAUGAUGAGAAAGAAUUUGGAGCUAAUUUAUGCUGGUUAUUGCAAGCUAGGUAAAAUGGAAGAGGCGUUGGUUUUUUUUGAUGAUACGAUGGAUUAGGGAAUUAGAGCUAACACUAUUACAUUCUAAGACUUUGUAAAGACAGUGAAUGUCUUCCACGUAGAGAUUAUUGUGCAUAAAUGUUGAAACAGGAAUUUGAUUGCAAGAAUAUUGUGAUUGAUAAAUGAGGGGUGGCAACGCGUGCAGAUGAGAAUUUGGAUUUGGUUAAGCAGACGGACCUGGAACUACUUAAUUUGCGUAAAAGUAUUUAUGUGAGGUCUAAUGGCUACUUAAAGACUUUUCUACCUAUUGACGGUUUUGCUCUACAGGCACAUGCUUUGAUUCUGGUCAAGUGGCGUUGUUAAUGGAACAAUAAUCACUACGUAGCAUCUUCAAUGAUAGAAAUUGAAUGAUGAGGAAAUAAAACGGACAUGCUGUUUGAAAUCCACAAAUGGUAGGGGGUAAAGACGCUACAAUGGCUCGAUGUAGUAUCUUAGCAUGAUUUUGUGUCGUUAUUAAUGCUUUUGCUGUAGUUUUUCAUGUUAGUUGUUCAGAUAGAGUCCGUUGGAUGCGCCAAAUAUCCAAAGCAUGACUAAAAAGCCAACUUAGCUUCACUUGAGCUGGAGAUCCCAGCUUUGCUUGAACCUGAAGACGUUGACAAGACAUUUAUUACCAUGCUUGAGUUAAGUUUUCCCGCAUCAGUAUAGUUCUAACGGUUGUAGGAUUAUCUAUUUUUUAGUUUUAUUCUAACUAAACGAAGUGUAAAUGAGGAAAGGGAUGGUUUAUUAUUAGGCUUUAGUUAUAAUUAAGGUCAUUAAUCUCUUAAUAAGCUGUGAUGUUGUAAGAAUAUUUUGAUGAUUAUGGAUGAUUAUUUCGUUAUA